GAUGAACGCUGGCGGCGUGCCUAAUACAUGCAAGUCGAGCGAACAGACUAGGCGCUUGCUCCUCUGACGUUAGCGGCGGACGGGUGAGUAACACGUGGAUAACCUACCUAUAAGACUGGGAUAACUUCGGGAAACCGGAGCUAAUCCCGGAUAAUCUAUUGAACCGCAUGGUUCAAUAGUGAAAGACGGUUUUGCUGUCACUUAUAGAUGGUUCCCCGCCGCAUUAGCUGGUUGGUAAGGUAACGGCUUACCACGGCGACGAUGCGUAGCCGAGCUGAGAGGGUGAUCGGCCACCUGGGAACUGAGACACGGACCAGACUACUACGGGAGGCAGCAGUAGGGAAUCUUCCGCAAUGGGCGAAAGCAUGACGGAGCAACGCCGCGUGAGUGAUGAAGGUCUUCGGAUCGUAAAACUCUGUUAUUAGGGAAGAACAAAUGUGUAAGUAACUAUGCACGUAUUGACGGUACCUAAUCAGAAAGCCACGGCUAACUACGUG
rnacentral:rRNA from 1 species